rnacentral:rRNA from 1 species
AUACGGAGGGUGCAAGCGUUAAUCGGAAUUACUGGGCGUAAAGCGCGCGUAGGCGGUUUGCUCAGUCGGAUGUGAAAGCCCAGGGCUCAACCUUGGAACUGCAUACGAUACUGGGAAACUAGAGUGUGAGAGAGGAUAGUGGAAUUUCCGGUGUAGCGGUGAAAUGCGUAGAUAUCGGAAGGAACAUCAGUGGCGAAGGCGACUGUCUGGCUCAACACUGACGCUGAGGUGCGAAAGCGUGGGUAGCAAACAGGAUUAGAAACCCUAGUAGUCC